rnacentral:rRNA from 1 species
UGAUCCUGACAUGCCGCGUGAGUGAAGAAGGCCUUCGGGUUGUAAAGCUCUUUUGUCAGGGAAGAACAGCAGCUCUAACACAGUUUGCGAAUGACGGUACCUGAAGAAUAAGCACCGGCUAACUACGUGCCAGCAGCCGCGGUAAUACGUAGGGUGCAAGCGUUAAUCGGAAUUACUGGGCGUAAAGCGUGCGCAGGCGGUUAUGUAAGACAGGCGUGAAAUCCCCGGGCUUAACCUGGGAAUUGCGCUUGUGACUGCAUAGCUAGAGUAUGUCAGAGGGGGGUAGAAUUCCACGUGUAGCAGUGAAAUGCGUAGAGAUGUGGAGGAAUACCAAUGGCGAAGGCAGCCCCCUGGGAUAAUACUGACGCUCAUGCACGAAAGCGUGGGGAGCAAACAGGAUUAGAUACCCUGGUAGUCCACGCCCUAAACGAUGCUGACUAGUUGUUCGGGAAUUUAUUCCUGAGUAACGUAGCUAACGCGUGAAGUCAGCCGCCUGGGGAGUACGGUCGCAAGAUUAAAACUCAAAGGAAUUGACGGGGACCCGCACAAGCGGUGGAUGAUGUGGAUUAAUUCGAUGCAACGCGAAAAACCUUACCUACCCUUGACAUGCCACUAACGAAUUAGAGAUACAUUAGGUGCCCGUAAGGGAAAGUGGCCCCGGUGCUGGUGGUUGGCGUCGCUCGGGUCGGAGAGGUGGGUAAGUCCGGAAGAGGGAACCUUGUUCUAUUGUAGCAGAGCUC